UAAACGAUGUCUACUUGGAGGUUGUGGCCUUGAGCCGUGGCUUUCGGAGCUAACGCGUUAAGUAGACCGCCUGGGGAGUACGGUCGCAAGAUUAAAACUCAAAUGAAUUGACGGGGGCCCGCACAAGCGGUGGAGCAUGUGGUUUAAUUCGAUGCAACGCGAAGAACCUUACCUACUCUUGACAUCCAUAGAACUUUUCAGAGAUGAAUUGGUGCCUUCGGGAACUAUGAGACAGGUGCUGCAUGGCUGUCGUCAGCUCGUGUUGUGAAAUGUUGGGUUAAGUCCCGCAACGAGCGCAACCCUUAUCCUUGUUUGCCAGCGAGUAAUGUCGGGAACUCCAGGGAGACUGCCGGUGAUAAACCGGAGGAAGGUGGGGACGACGUCAAGUCAUCAUGGCCCUUACGGGUAGGGCUACACACGUGCUACAAUGGCGCAUACAGAGGGCGGCCAACUUGCGAAAGUGAGCGAAUCCCAAAAAGUGCGUCGUAGUCCGGAUUGGAGUCUGCAACUCGACUCCAUGAAGUCGGAAUCGCUAGUAAUCGUAGAUCAGAAUGCUACGGUGAAUACGUUCCCGGGCCUUGUACACACCGCCCAAGCUUC
rnacentral:rRNA from 1 species